rnacentral:rRNA from 1 species
GUCGAACGCUUUUUCUUUCACCGGAGCUUGCUCCACCGAAAGAAAAGGAGUGGCGAACGGGUGAGUAACACGUGGGUAACCUGCCCAUCAGAAGGGGAUAACACUUGGAAACAGGUGCUAAUACCGUAUAACAGUAGAAACCGCAUGGUUUCUAUUUGAAAGGCGCUUUUGCGUCACUGAUGGAUGGACCCGCGGUGCAUUAGCUAGUUGGUGAGGUAACGGCUCACCAAGGCAACGAUGCAUAGCCGACCUGAGAGGGUGAUCGGCCACAUUGGGACUGAGACACGGCCCAAACUCCUACGGGAGGCAGCAGUAGGGAAUCUUCGGCAAUGGACGAAAGUCUGACCGAGCAACGCCGCGUGAGUGAAGAAGGUUUUCGGAUCGUAAAACUCUGUUGUUAGAGAAGAACAAGGAUGAGAGUAAAAYGUUCAUCCCUUGACGGUAUCUAACCAGAAAGCCACGGCUAACUACGUGCCAGCAGCCGCGGUAAUACGUAGGUGGCAAGCGUUGUCCGGAUUUAUUGGGCGUAAAGCGAGCGCAGGCGGUUUCUUAAGUCUGAUGUGAAAGCCCCCGGCUCAACCGGGGAGGGUCAUUGGAAACUGGGAAACUUGAGUGCAGAAGAGGAGAGUGGAAUUCCAUGUGUAGCGGUGAAAUGCGUAGAUAUAUGGAGGAACACCAGUGGCGAAGGCGGCUCUCUGGUCUGUAACUGACGCUGAGGCUCGAAAGCGUGGGGAGCAAACAGGAUUAGAUACCCUGGUAGUCCACGCCGUAAACGAUGAGUGCUAAGUGUUGGAGGGUUUCCGCCCUUCAGUGCUGCAGCUAACGCAUUAAGCACUCCGCCUGGGGAGUACGACCGCAAGGUUGAAACUCAAAGGAAUUGACGGGGGCCCGCACAAGCGGUGGAGCAUGUGGUUUAAUUCGAAGCAACGCGAAGAACCUUACCAGGUCUUGACAUCCUUUGACCACUCUAGAGAUAGAGCUUCCCCUUCGGGGGCAAAGUGACAGGUGGUGCAUGGUUGUCGUCAGCUCGUGUCGUGAGAUGUUGGGUUAAGUCCCGCAACGAGCGCAACCCUUAUUGUUAGUUGCCAUCAUU